rnacentral:rRNA from 1 species
CGUUGGGAGCGCUCCCAUAUGGUCGACCUGCAGGCGGCCGCGAAUUCACUAGUGAUUAGAGUUUGAUCAUGGCUCAAAAUGAACGCUGGCGGCAUGCCUAACACAUGCAAGUCGAACGAAGGCUUCGGCCUUAGUGGCGCACGGGUGCGUAACGCGUGGGAAUCUGCCCUCAGGUUCGGAAUAACAGCGAGAAAUUGCUGCUAGUACCGGAUGAUAUCGCGAGAUCAAAGAUUUAUCGCCUGAGGAUGAGCCCGCGUAGGAUUAGCUAGUUGGUGUGGUAAAGGCGCACCAAGGCGACGAUCCUUAGCUGGUCUGAGAGGAUGAUCAGCCACACUGGGACUGAGACACGGCCCAGACUCCUACGGGAGGCAGCAGUGGGGAAUAUUGGACAAUGGGCGAAAGCCUGAUCCAGCCAUGCCGCGUGUGUGAAGAAGGUCUUCGGAUUGUAAAGCACUUUAAGUUGGGAGGAAGGGCAUUAACCUAAUACGUUAGUGUUUUGACGUUACCGACAGAAUAAGCCCCGGCUAACUCUGUGCCAGCAGCCGCGGUAAUACGAAUCGAAUUCUCGC